GUUUCAAUUAGAUUUUCAAGGCUGUACUUCAAAAGUAUUAACUUUGAAAUACUGCUGCUGAUAUCAGCCAAAAUAAUACAAUCGACAGGAACUUUAACGAAUAGCACAAUUCUGCGCAUUCACAAAACUCCGACAAUUGAAAUAAUUGUUUAGGUGUAAAAAAGUGUUCAGGUUGAAAACCCCUUUCACUCAUUAUAGAAUCCUUGAAUGAUCCUUCCGCAGGUUCACCUACGGAAA
rnacentral:misc_RNA from 1 species